GCCAUGUUGAAGUUUCACUAAGCUACAGCUCUCUCUUUACAGCAGCAAACCUUUACAACAAUUAUGUGCAUUCAAACUACCGCACAUGUGUACCACAGGGAUACAUAGGUACGGAUCGGAGAAUAUGCAGGAAACUUUAUUACAGAGGGAAUACUCAACACACUAUGUGAUCUUCGCCUGCUACAGAGACCAGCACCUCAGCCAGCGGUGUCGCCCGAUGCCGCUAGCUGGGUAAGGGAACAUCAACAGUGGUGUGCGCUAAAGCGGAA